rnacentral:rRNA from 1 species
UACACGCUGUGACUAGCAUAUCAAUAAGCGGAGGAAAAGGCGUACCUACGCUUAGGAUGUUGACACACGCGCGUGCUCGACUCUAUACAUGACUCUGUGCAUAUCAAUAAGCGGAGGAAAAGCAGACAAAGCAGAUGACCGACUACCUACGCUUAGGAUGUUGACACACGCGCGUGCUCGGCUCUAUACAUGACUCUGUGCAUAUCAAUAAGCGGAGGAAAAGUAAGCUACCUACGCUUAGGAUGUUGACACACGCGCGUGCUCGACUCUAUACAUGACUCUGCGCAUAUCAAUAAGCGGAGGAAAAGGAGUAUACCUACGCUUAGGAUGUUGACGAGACUGUCGAUCUCAUCAAUACAUGACUCUGUGCAUAUCAAUAAGCGGAGGAAAAGAGGGCUAUUACCUACGCUUAGGAUGUUGACGCGCGUGUGUGCUUGAUCUAUACAUGGCUCUGUGCAUAUCAAUAAGCGGAGGAAAAGGGAAUCGGUCACCCCAGUACCUACGCUUAGGAUGUUGACACGCGCGUGCUUGACUCUAUACACGACUCUGUGCAUAUCAAUAAGCGGAGGAAAAGAGGGCUAUUACCUACGCUUAGGAUGUUGACACACGCGCGUGCUCGACUCUAUACAUGACUCUGUGCAUAUCAAUAAGCGGAGGAAAAGAGGGCUAUUACCUACGCUUAGGAUGUUGACGCGCGUGUGUGCGUGAGUCUAUACAUGACUCUGUGCAUAUCAAUAAGCGGAGGAAAAGAAACUAACAAGGAUUCCCUUAGUAACGGCGAGUGAAGCGGGAAGAGCUCAAAUUUGAAAUCUUCAAGGUUUUACCUUGACGAAUUGUAGUUUAAAGAAGUGUUUUCUGUUGGAGUUUUGGUAAAAGUUCUUUGGAAAAGGACAUCAUAGAGGGUGAGAAUCCCGUAUUUGACCAUUAUCUCCAGCUUUGUGAUACACUUUCAAAGAGUCGGAUUGUUUGGGAAUGCAGUCCAAAAUGGGUGGUAAAUUUCAUCUAAAGCUAAAUAUUGGCGAGAGACCGAUAGCGAACAAGUACCGUGAGGGAAAGAUGAAAAGAACUUUGAAAAGAGAGUUAAACAGUACGUGAAAUUGUCAAAAGGGAAGCGUUUGACACCAGUGUUGUUUUCUCGAAAAUCAAUUAAAAAGAGUUGGAUUUUGUGUUGUAUUGACCUUAUCAGCUUUCUGCACUCUUUUCUCUGUCUUUUUUAAUGCACUUUUCGUUUAACAAGUCAACAUCAGUUUCUUUUGUUGUAAAAGGGUCAUUGGAAGGUGGCUUUCUCUUCGGAGAAAGUGUUUAUAGCCUUUGAUCUCUGCAAUCGGAGAGACUGAGGUCUGCAGCGUAGAUCCUUCGGGGUUAGAUACAUUUGUGCUAAGCUACAGCUUUUCAUAGACAACUUGUUGACUAUGUUUAGUCUUGUAACUUACCCGCUUAUGCUAUUUUACCUACGCUUAGGAUGUUGAUAUGCAUGACUGAUAU